rnacentral:rRNA from 1 species
GAUGAACGCUGGCGGCGUGCUUAACACAUGCAAGUCGAACGAAGCACUUUAUUUGAUUUCCUUCGGGACUGAUUAUUUUGUGACUGAGUGGCGGACGGGUGAGUAACGCGUUGGUAACCUGCCUUGUACAGGGGGAUAACAGUUGGAAACGGCUGCUAAUACCGCAUAAGCGCACAGCAUCGCAUGAUCCAGUGUGAAAAACUCCGGUGGUAUACGAUGGGCCCGCGUUGGAUUAGCUAGUUGGUGAGGUAACGGCCCACCAAGGCGACGAUCCAUAGCCGAGCUGAGAGGCUGACCGGCCACACUGGGACUGAGACACGGCCCAAAAUCCUACGGGAGGCAGCCGUGGGGAAUAUUGCACAAUGGGCGAAAGCCUGAUGCAGCGACGCCGCGUGAGCGAAGAAGUAUUUAGGUAUGUAAAGCUCUAUAAGCAGGGAAGAUAAUGACGGUACCUGACUAAGAAGCACCGGCUAAAUACGUG